UACGGAGGGUGCGAGCGUUGUCCGGAAUCACUGGGCGUAAAGGGCGCGUAGGCGGCCUGGUAAGUAGGGGGUGAAAUCCUGCGGCUUAACCGCAGGGCUGCCUUCUAAACUGUCAGGCUUGAGCACAGUAGAGGCAGGUGGAAUUCCCGGUGUAGCGGUGGAAUGCGUAGAGAUCGGGAAGAACAUCAGUGGCGAAGGCGGCCUGCUGGGCUGUUGCUGACGCUGAGGCGCGACAGCGUGGGGAGCGAACAGG
rnacentral:rRNA from 1 species